rnacentral:rRNA from 1 species
UAACGACCGUACCGCAAACCGACACUGGUGCGCGAGAUGAGUAUUCUAAGGCGCUUGAGAGAACUCUGGAGAAGGAACUCGGCAAAUUGAUACCGUAACUUCGGGAGAAGGUAUGCCCCUAGUAGGUGAACUCGUACAGAGGGAGCCCAAUGGGGUUGCAAAAAAUCGGUGGCUGCGACUGUUUAAUAAAAACACAGCACUCUGCAAACACGAAAGUGGACGUAUAGGGUGUGACGCCUGCCCGGUGCUGGAAGAUUAAAUGAUGGGGUGCAAGCUCUUGAUUGAAGUCCCAGUAAACGGCGGCCGUAACUAUAACGGUCCUAAGGUAGCGAAAUUCCUUGUCGGGUAAGUUCCGACCUGCACGAAUGGCGUAACGAUGGCCACACUGUCUCCUCCAGAGACUCAGCGAAGUUGAAAUGUUUGUGAUGAUGCAAUCUCCCCGCGGAAAGACGGAAAGACCCCAUGAACCUUUACUGUAGCUUUGUAUUGGACUUUGAACAGAUCUGUGUAGGAUAGGUGGGAGGCUUUGAAGCCGGGACGCUAGUCUCGGUGGAGCCAACGUUGAAAUACCACCCUGGUGUGUUUGAGGUUCUAACCUAGGUCCAUUAUCUGGAUCGGGGACAGUGCAUGGUAGGCAGUUUGACUGGGGCGGUCUCCUCCCAAAGUGUAACGGAGGAGUUCGAAGGUACGCUAGGUACGGUCGGACAUCGUGCUAAUAGUGCAAUGGCAUAAGCGUGCUUAACUGCGAGACUGACAAGUCGAGCAGAUGCGAAAGCAGGACAUAGUGAUCCGGUGGUUCUGUAUGGAAGGGCCAUCGCUCAACGGAUAAAAGGUACUCUGGGGAUAACAGGCUGAUACCGCCCAAGAGUUCAUAUCGACGGCGGUGUUUGGCACCUCGAUGUCGGCUCAUCUCAUCCUGGGGCUGUAGCCGGUCCCAAGGGUAUGGCUGUUCGCCAUUUAAAGAGGUACGUGAGCUGGGUUUAAAACGUCGUGAGACAGUUUGGUCCCUAUCUUCCGUGGGCGCUGCAGAUUUGAGGAAGCCUGCUCCUAGUACGAGAGGACCGGAGUGGACACACCUCUGGUGUAUCGGUUGUCACGCCAGUGGCAUUGCCGAGUAGCUAAGUGUGGAAGAGAUAACCGCUGAAAGCAUCUAAGCGGGAAACUCGUUUCAAGAUGAGAUCUGCCGGGGCCUUGAGCCCCCUAAAGAGUCGUUCAAGACCAGGACGUUGAUAGGUCAGGUGUGGAAGCGCAGUAAUGCGUUAAGCUAACUGAUACUAAUUGCUCGUGCGGCUUGAU